GCCUGGCUGGCUCAGCAGGUUAAGCUUCCGACUUCGGCUCAGGUCAUGAUCUAACAGUUCAUGGGUUCGAGCCCCGUGUCGGGCU
rfam:Felis catus isolate Cinnamon breed Abyssinian chromosome D4, whole genome shotgun sequence.